UACGAAGGGGGCUAGCGUUGCUCGGAAUUACUGGGCGUAAAGCGCACGUAGGCGGAUUGUUAAGUCGGGGGUGAAAUCCCGGAGCUCAACUCCGGAACUGCCUUCGAUACUGACGAUCUUGAGUCCGGGAGAGGUGAGUGGAACUGCGAGUGUAGAGGUGAAAUUCGUAGAUAUUCGCAAGAACACCAGUGGCGAAGGCGGCUCACUGGCCCGGUACUGACGCUGAGGUGCGAAAGCGUGGGGAGCAAACAGG
rnacentral:rRNA from 1 species